AACGCGAAGAACCUUACCUGGGCUUGAACCGCACAGGACCAGCUCCAGAAAUGGGGCCUUCCCGCAAGGGACCUGUGUAGAGGUGCUGCAUGGCUGUCGUCAGCUCGUGUCGUGAGAUGUUGGGUUAAGUCCCGCAACGAGCGCAACCCUUAUCUUCAGUUGCUACCAUUUAGUUGAGCACUCUGACGAAACCGCCUCGGAUAACGGGGAGGAAGGUGGGGAUGACGUCAAGUCCUCAUGGCCUUUAUGUCCAGGGCUACACACGUGCUACAAUGGCCGGUACAAACCGCUGCAAACCCGCGAGGGGGAGCUAAUCGGAAAAAGCCGGCCUCAGUUCGGAUUGGAGUCUGCAACUCGACUCCAUGAAGCUGGAAUCGCUAGUAAUCGUGGAUCAGCAUGCCACGGUGAAUACGUUCCCGGGCCUUGUACACACCGAUAGC
rnacentral:rRNA from 1 species